rnacentral:tRNA from 4 species
GGAGAGUUGGCUGAGUGGUCGAAGGCGCACGAUUGGAAAUCGUGUGUGCGGUAAUCCCGUACCCAGGGUUCAAAUCCCUGACUCUCCGCCA